rnacentral:rRNA from 1 species
GUCCUAGCCGUAAACGUUGGGUGCUAGGUGUGGGCGGACAUCGACCCCGUCCGUGCCGAAGCUAACGCAUUAAGCACCCCGCCUGGGGAGUACGGCCGCAAGGCUAAAACUCAAAGGAAUUGACGGGGCCCCGCACAAGCGGCGGAGCAUGUUGCUUAAUUCGAUGCGACGCGAAGAACCUUACCUGGGCUUGACAUGCAGGGUGAAACCCGUGAAAGCGGGUGCUCUUCGGAGCCUGCACAGGUGGUGCAUGGCUGUCGU